GACGAACGCUGGCGGCGUGCUUAACACAUGCAAGUCGAACGGAAAGGCCCUGCUUUUGUGGUGUGCUCGAGUGGCGAACGGGGGAGUAUCACGUGAGUAUCCUGCCCUUUAUUUUGGGGUAACUUCAGUGAAAUGGAGCUAAUACCGGGUAGGAGCUCCGGCUGCAUGGUGGGGGUUGGAGAGUUUCGGCGGUUGGGGAUGGCCACGCGGCUCUGCAGCUUGUUGGUGGGGAGGUGGCUUACCAAGGCAGUGAGGCGUCGCCGGUCUGAGAGGGUGACCGGCCACAUUGGGACUGAGAGACGGCGCAGAGUCCUACGGGAGGCAGCAGUGGGGAAGACUGCACAAUGCGCGGAGGGCGGAUGCAGUAACGCCGCGGGCGGGAUGACUGCUUUCGGGUUGUAAAGCGCUUUCGCCUGUGACGAAGCGUGAGUGACGGUAAUGGGUAAAGAAGCACCGGCUAACUACG
rnacentral:rRNA from 1 species